UGGGGAAUUUUGGACAAUGGGGGAAACCCUGAUCCAGCCAUCCCGCGUGUGCGAUGAAGGCCUUCGGGUUGUAAAGCACUUUUGGCAGGAAAGAAACGUCAUGGGUUAAUACCCCAUGAAACUGACGGUACCUGCAGAAUAAGCACCGGCUAACUACGUGCCAGCAGCCGCGGUAAUACGUAGGGUGCAAGCGUUAAUCGGAAUUACUGGGCGUAAAGCGUGCGCAGGCGGUUCGGAAAGAAAGAUGUGAAAUCCCAGAGCUCAACUUUGGAACUGCAUUUUUAACUACCGGGCUAGAGUGUGUCAGAGGGAGGUGGAAUUCCGCGUGUGGCAGUGAGAUGCGUAGAUAUGCGGAGGAACACCGAUGGCGAAGGCAGCCUCCUGGGAUAACACUGACGAUCAUGCACGAAAGCGUGGGGAGCAAACAGG
rnacentral:rRNA from 1 species